GGAUUUCUAGUGCAGCAUUUUGUCGCUAAACGCUGUUACAACCUGCAAAUCUGUGCUCACGUGAAGGCUGCCCCCGCCGUCAUGGCGGCAUGUCUCCAUCUUGGAUUGAUCGUUACUCAUACCGGCGUUUUGUCAAUCCUCGCUUGAAACUGACUGUUAGCCGUAAAAUAGUUGUUUUUAUGGACUUCUUUUCUGCAGUAAAGCUCAGGACAAUGCAUUUAUUGGCAGGAGAGUUAUUGGUGGGUCAUAAAUUAGCUGUUUGGUGUCAGUUUUAUAACAGUAUAUUGUGUCCCUGUAUAGCGGUCAAAGUCACGAUCUAUAAGUUGAAAUCAUCCACCAUCGCGUCCCUUAUAUUUGUUGACAUGAUUUAGAUCUGACACACUGAAGUAUAACUCUCCACCAGAGCUCAUGGUAGGGACAGCUGAAAUCAUAGGUAAUAGUGACACUGCGUGAACGAUGAUAAUUAUCAUCCCCACAGCACACAGCGGCCAGAAGAAUUGUUGGGAAGUGGUCGUUCAACUUUGUCACAGUUAUGGCAACAUAUAAUUACUAUAAUUUGUGUGACAUCCCUUAAAGUGCCAACUACCGACUCCUAUGCGGUUUCACAGUUGUGACUGUCCAGUUAUGACAACAAUACCCCAAGGCCCAACUUGACAUCGAUCACAGGGUUGGACAAGUUUUCUAAGAGUCACUUGUCCUAUCAGGCCCGACCCAAAUUUUCACUUGCCUGAAAUUUAGAUUGCAUUUUUCUCUGUUUUUUCACUAUCAGCAAUGGAAUUCUUUUAUUAUAGGCUCUAUUUUUCUGCGUUGACUAAUGCUUGAUGUCAUGACUGUGAAAAGAAAAUAGUAUCAAAAUCUCACUGAGGUCGGACAUGGGCUUGCCCAAUCAGCACUUAAGUUUCACUUACCCUGGAAAAUCGGACUGGUGGACGUGUCCAACCCUGGAUCUGUGCUAAUCAUGUGCAAUAUGUGAAGGAGGUCAUCCUGUAAGACGAAGGCUAGCCUGUCAAUAAGGAUUUCUCUGCCCUAUGGACAGGAUAAGCUUGUUUUAAACUUAAGAACACUUGCAGACAGAUGUGCGAAUGUUAGAUGUGACAGGCCAUUCAGUGUAAUAUAGUCAACUACUGCGGCACUGUAUGCCCCGAAGGGCUGUUAUACUGGCUCCAUAGAUACAGAAGCUGGUGUGUUAGUUUACACUGAGGGGUGGUCUUACUGGCUACAUUAUAGUACAUAGUCAUUAUAGAUAUGGAUACAAGUACAAAAGCUCCAGGUGGUGUGUUACGCUCAAGGACAGGACUAAAAAAAGAUGGUGUGUUACGCUGCAGGGCAGGUAUACCCGCUUAAUACUAAUAGAUACGGAUUCAAAAGCUGGUGCAUUAUGGUAGUUACACCGGCUACAGUUUCACAAACCUGUGCCACUCCACCGGAAAAGUGGAGUAUACGAAUGACAAAACUAAUGCAUCUAACUUGAAACUCUGAAGACAUUAGUUCAACAUUAUAUCCAUACAAUAUACAUGGACCGGUGCAGGUAGAUGUCCAAAAUGCUUGGUCAACACCAGUUUUACCUGCACUACCCUGCAGUAUGUCAUAUUUACUGGGAGGAUAGGUUCCAGGCGAUGCGGACCAGUAUGCAGUACAAUCUUACCUUACUGAGCAGAUGUUGAUGCAAACUUGGCUUGACAUUUGUACUUAGAAUAAAAAGUCCCCCCGUGUUUAGGAACUACCAGUACUUAAUUUAAGUUAAACCAAGCUUAAACAUGUGUUUCCUUUUCUUUGUUUCUUCCA